GAUGAACGCUGGCGGCGUGCUUAACACAUGCAAGUCGAACGGAAAGGCUCCUGCUUGCAGGGGUACUCGAGUGGCGAACGGGUGAGUAACACGUGGGUGAUCUGCCCUGCACUUCGGGAUAAGCCUGGGAAACUGGGUCAAAUACCGGAUAGGACGAUGGUUUGGAUGCCAUUGUGGAAAGUUUUUCGGUGUGGGAUGAGCUCGCGGCCUAUCAGCUUGUUGGUGGGGUAAUGGCCUACCAAGGCGUCGACGGGUAGCCGGCCUGAGAGGGUGUACGGCCACAUUGGGACUGAGAUACGGCCCAGACUCCUACGGGAGGCAGCAGUGGGGAAUAUUGCACAAUGGGCGCAAGCCUGAUGCAGCGACGCCGCGUGGGGGAUGACGGCCUUCGGGUUGUAAACUCCUUUCGCUAGGGACGAAGCGCAAGUGACGGUACCUGGAGAAGAAGCACCGGCUAACUACGUG
rnacentral:rRNA from 1 species